rnacentral:rRNA from 1 species
GAUGAACGCUGACAGAAUGCUUAACACAUGCAAGUCAACUUGAAUUUGGGUUUUUAACUUAGGUUUGGGUGGCGGACGGGUGAGUAACGCGUAAAGAACUUGCCUCACAGCUAGGGACAACAUUUGGAAACGAAUGCUAAUACCUAAUAUUAUGAUAAUAGGGCAUCCUAUAAUUAUGAAAGCUAUAAGCGCUGUGAGAGAGCUUUGCGUCCCAUUAGCUAGUUGGAGAGGUAACGGCUCACCAAGGCGAUGAUGGGUAGCCGGCCUGAGAGGGUGAUCGGCCACAAGGGGACUGAGACACGGCCCUUACUCCUACGGGAGGCAGCAGUGGGGAAUAUUGGACAAUGGACCGAGAGUCUGAUCCAGCAAUUCUGUGUGCACGAUGAAGUUUUUCGGAAUGUAAAGUGCUCUCAGUUGGGAAGAAACAAAUGACGGUACCAACAGAAGAAGUGACGGCUAAAUACGUG